GUCGAGAAUCUUUCACAAUGGGGGCAACCCUGAUGGAGCGACGCCGCGUGGAGGAUAAGGUCUUCGGAUUGUAAACUCCUGUCAUGCGUGAACAAGGUUGCUUGGUUAAUACCUGGGCAAAUUGAUGGUAACGCAAGAGGAAGAGACGGCUAACUCUGUGCCAGCAGCCGCGGUAAUGCAGAGGUCUCAAGCGUUGUUCGGAAUCACUGGGCGUAAAGGGUGCGUAGGUGGCGUGGUAAGUCAGAUGUGAAAGCCCGGGGCUCAACCUCGGAACUGCAUCCGAUACUGCCAUGCUAGAGUACUGGAGAGGUGACUAGAAUUCUCGGUGUAGCAGUGAAAUGCGUAGAUAUCGAGAGGAAUACCAAAGGCGUAGGCAGGUCACUGGACAGUUACUGACACUGAGGCACGAAGGCCAGGGGAGCGAACGGGAUUAGAUACCCCAGUAGUCC
rnacentral:rRNA from 1 species